rnacentral:lncRNA from 1 species
UGAAAUAAGCAGUGGCAUUAAUGUCAUUUGUGACAGAUACAUUCCUGAUUGAAGUGUGGUGCUGAUUUGUACUUUGAAGGGUAGUUUGAAAAAAGUUUGUGCACUUGUUUGCUGAGUUUUGUUAGUGUAACCCCUUUUUCACAAGGGAAGAUAAAUCCUCUCUCCUCCCACCAUUUGGGCUCAAUCAGACAUUUUUGUUUCUUUCUGCUUCAUUACAGCAACUGAUAUAGGCCAACUCUCCCUUUUUCCAAGGCAAGAUCUAUUUGGACAUCUAUACCUGAAAGGACAUCAAAGAGGAAGGCAAGCUUUCCUAAUAAUAAUAAUAAUAAUAAUAUAAAUAAAUAAAUUUGCAGAUAGCAUGGGAUAGAAAUUAUCCCUGAUGGACUGCAAAAGAAAAUACAAUAAUGGGACAAAGGUGCAUGAUAUGAAUGUAAUAUCUGAGGUCUCUUUAUGUUGUCUUUCAUUUUAUUUUGUUUUUGCAUGUUUAGACUGUAGCCUUCUGGGGACAGGAGUUUUCCUUGCUAUGGAGAGAGAGAGAGAGAGAGACAGAGGCUUAUUAUCAGAGUUAUUACUAGAAGACCAGCUGAGGACACGGAGAGCAAAGAUACCUUUCCCAGAAUGCAUAUACACUUGAUUCUGGACAAGACAGAGAAGGUCAAGAAGAAAACAAUGUAAUGUGGAACUGCUUCGAUACUCCACUCUUUUGUCUCCGUGUGUGGUCCUGUAUUACAAAAUUCGGGCAGCGUGUUGCCCUAGUGGAUGAAAAGUGAGGUAAGAAGAUUGUUCUUGAUGAUCCUGAUGAUCCAUUCUUCCAUUCUCUCAUAAACUGACUUAUGGACAUAAUUUAAAAGUGAGUUGAAAUGAGAAAAGUACUAACUGCCAGAUCUCCCUAAAUGUAGUUAUAGGGCAUGUCAGCACGUAUACAUUAUGAAAGUUGCCUUACAAAAAUACUCAAUAUUUGCAAUUUAUAAGUGAGAACUUCUAUUAAACUAUUUAAAAGUAAUUUUCCAUUUGGACUUAAAAAGCUUAUACUACAUGGUGGCACUGGAGAUUUUCUAGUCUUUCAUGGUCCUAAUGAAGGCAUCCAUAAACCCAAAACACAUGUAAAUUGUGUCAGAUUACAUAAAUUUUUCAUGCAUCUGUUAGUAUUAAUGAUGCAACACACUAUUUAUUUCAUUUUUAAAUGAAUUUUCAGAAAGCCAAGAUAAAGAAGGCCACUAAUAUGAGGGUUUUGUUUCCUCUAAUAAAUCAUAGCGUUUGAUUUGUCA